AAGCAUCUGCCAGGAAGUGAUCGGAACAGCUAGCUUGCCCACAUGCGAAGAGGACCGGUUGAUAUCGAUUGCAUGUUCUCCCUGACCAGUCUAUUUGCGUGGCUACGGGUUGUUUGGAUACUAGCUAAAUUUUAGCAGUGUCAUAUCGGAUAUUCGAAUACUAAUUAGGAGGACUAAAUAUGAGCUAAUUAUAAAAUUAAUUGCAGAACCAUAUGCUAAUUCAUGAGACGAAUCUAUGAAACCUAAUUAAUCCGUCAUUAGCAAAUGGUUACUGUAGCACCA
rnacentral:lncRNA from 1 species